rnacentral:rRNA from 1 species
AGAGUGAACGCUGGCGGUAGGCCUAACACAUGCAAGUCGAACGGCAGCACAGUAGGAGCUUGCUCUUACGGGUGGCGAGUGGCGGACGGGUGAGGAACACAUCGGAAUCUACCUUUUGGUGGGGGAUAACGUAGGGAAACUUACGCUAAUACCGCAUACGCCCUUCGGGGGAAAGCCGGGGACCAGCAAUGGCCUGGUGCUGAUAGAUGAGCCGAUGUCGGAUUAGCUUAGGUUGGUGAGGUAAUGGCUCACCAAGGCCGACGAUCCGUAGCUGGUCUGAGAGGAUGAUCGAGCCACACUGGAACUGAGACACGGUCCAGACUCCGUAGGGAGCAGCAGGU